UGAUUGAGCAGAUUUUGGAGUUGAUUUCCAUAACUGGUGGGAAUAUGCAUAUGCCAUGGCUCUUUCUCUCUUGAUAGCUGCAUUCACCUUUCUCUGCAGCCUUGCCUCAAUUUCCUCUUUUGUUAGCAAGCUGUCAUCCCAAUCUUCAUUACCUGCCUCAGAAGCCAGGCUCCAUUUGCCCAAGGUACUCUCUACUUCUUUAUCAUUCCUGUAUUGAGCAUGAUGCCGUGCUUGGUUUUCCAACAUCUGGAUUCUCCGUGACUGAAUCUGAGAUUGGACCCGGACCAAUAGCUGCAUGCAUUUCAUUGCAUUCAUUGUCUGCCGUUUCACACUCUGUCCUCUUACCACUCCUUGAAGCCUGACCAGGCCCUUCAGUGAUCUAAAGCUCCUUCUUGCAGCAUAGCCUCUAUAGGCUGCUUGGAUCUUGGAUGAUGGUUCCUCAGAGUAGGUUCUGGUCUGUAGUAUGUCUCCUUAUGACGUUGAACAUUCUUAGGAGAAGCUGCCCUUGGGGAAGCAACCCUUGGAGAUGCAGCUCUGGGG
rnacentral:misc_RNA from 1 species